rnacentral:rRNA from 1 species
AGAGCUUGCUCUCGGGUGACGAGCGGCGGACGGGCCGUAGUAAUGUCUGGGAAACUGCCUGAUGGAGGGGGAUAACUACUGGAAACGGUAGCUAAUACCGCAUAACGUCGCAAGACCAAAGUGGGGGACCUUCGGGCCUCAUGCCAUCAGAUGUGCCCAGAUGGGAUUAGCUAGUAGGUGGGGUAACGGCUCACCUAGGCGACGAUCCCUAGCUGGUCUGAGAGGAUGACCAGCCACACUGGAACUGAGACACGGUCCAGACUCCUACGGGAGGCAGCAGUGGGGAAUAUUGCACAAUGGGCGCAAGCCUGAUGCAGCCAUGCCGCGUGUAUGAAGAAGGCCUUCGGGUUGUAAAGUACUUUCAGCGGGGAGGAAGGCGAUAAGGUUAAUAACCUUGUCGAUUGACGUUACCCGCAGAAGAAGCACCGGCUAACUCCGUGCCAGCAGCCGCGGUAAUACGGAGGGUGCAAGCGUUAAUCGGAAUUACUGGGCGUAAAGCGCACGC